GGCAAGAUGGCCGAGUUGGUCCAUGGCGCGAGGUUAAGGUUGCAAUCUUAACACGAUUUCCUCGUGGGGAAACCCUCGUGGGUUCGAAUCCCACUCUUGUCA